UCUGGGCGGCAGCUACACAUGCAAGUCGAGCGGAUGACGGGAGCUUGCUCCUUGAUUCAGCGGCGGACGGGUGAGUAAUGCCUAGGAAUCUGCCUGGUAGUGGGGGACAACGUUCCGAAAGGAGCGCUAAUACCGCAUACGUCCUACGGGAGAAAGUGGGGGAUCUUCGGACCUCACGCUAUCAGAUGAGCCUAGGUCGGAUUAGCUAGUUGGUGAGGUAAAGGCUCACCAAGGCGACGAUCCGUAACUGGUCUGAGAGGAUGAUCAGUCACACUGGAACUGAGACACGGUCCAGACUCCUACGGGAGGCAGCAGUGGGGAAUAUUGGACAAUGGGCGAAAGCCUGAUCCAGCCAUGCCGCGUGUGUGAAGAAGGUCUUCGGAUUGUAAAGCACUUUAAGUUGGGAGGAAGGGCAGUAAGUUAAUACCUUGCUGUUUUGACGUUACCGACAGAAUAAGCACCGGCUAACUCUGUGCCAGCACC
rnacentral:rRNA from 3 species